CUGAGUGGCCCAAGGUGAGCUCUGCUGAGGAGAGAGCUGCCCUGCCUACCCCUCCCCUGCACUGCCUGUCUGAGGUCACAGAAGGAGCAGGAGAAAGGCAGCAGGCAUCUUAGGUGGUAAAGCCACUCAGUGAGCCACAGCAGCGAGGCGAGGAUGGUGGCUCCCUCUUUCUUUCGGAGGUGCAUACAUUCAACAAAUAACUACUCAAUGCCCACCAUGCCCAGUCCUGGGGCCAGGCUCUGGUGAUGCGGCCAGGAGCCCGGCAGACAGUGUGCUGCCUGCAUGGAGUCUACAGUCCUGUGUGGAGAUCAAUGUUGAACGGGGAAAUGAAACAGAAAACUGGCCAAGUAGAGGCUGAUAAGCGUCAUCCAGCAAAGCAAUGAACAGGCAGGUGGAGGCUCGGGAGGGCUGGGCAGGGCUGCUGCAGAUGGGCAGGGCUCUGGGCACUCGGCUGGGCAGGAGCCUGGGCAGUGGGGGGACUGGCUCCCAACACAGCCACUCCCCAACCACUCUUGGCUUCUCUGCUUCCUUCCUUCUCUCCCUGCCUCCUUCCCACACCUAUGCCCAGGUGCUCCUGUAGCUCUGGCUUGCGUAGGGACACUGCCAAGUGGCCCAUCCCCUUCAUUUCGUAGUCCAGAUGCUCUGACAGUGACCCCAGGUGACCGCCCAUGCAUCGCCUGUCCUGGUGGGGGCCAUCCUGUGCCAUCAUUGGGGGGGGGGUGCAGUGUGCAUGACACGGCACAGCAUGGCUCAUAGCUGCCCAGCACCAGGGGCUGAGGGGGUGAUGGGCAUAGCAGUGAGCAUUCCAUCUGGGAUUGAGUCCUGCUUGCCUCUGUCAGGGGAUGUCCUUAGGCAAGUCCCUUAACAUGCAUGUGCCUCAGUUUUGUCACCUGUAGCCCAGUGCCUCAUGGUGCCAAGGAGGUCACAAGCAUGAAGCCCCUGGCAGGGUGUGCCGGGCACGUGUGCACAUGCCCCCUGGAGGGGAUUCAUCAUCGCGGGCGGAGCUCUGCAGUUCCAGCCUCCUGAGGGUCCUGAUGCCUCACGAGGCCAAGAGGCAAAGGGUUUUGUAACUUACAUAACCGCAGAGAAAGGCAAGGUUGCUGCUCACAAUGAUGCUUUCACAGGGCGGCUCUGGGACGGCAUCCUCACCCGACUAUAUGGAAUUCCACAUCCUUUCCGAAUCUUGGUGUUACACAAUAGUCACUGAGAUAUCAUGUACCCCAUUAACGUUGAGACUUUUAUGUAUUUACAAUUCAGCUUAAAUUUUUACCCAGAGAAGUUUUCAAAAUGUAACAUGUGUUAGUCACUGUGUGAAUUGCGAAACCAAGGAAAUAUCUCCAAAGUGCUGGCCUUGACAAUGUAAUCUGGCAAGGCUUGGGGAGGAAUAAAAAUAACACUUCUCAGCAUCGCCGUCUCUGAGGGCAGGAGUGAUCUGGAGCCCUCCCCAAGCCCACAGGUAGUCGGGCGGCAUGUGCGGGCCUGGGGGGCCCCACUGGGGUCUUCUCUCCUCUUCCCCGGCCCCUCCCCGAGGCCAGGACAAGUCCUGCCUGCCCUGAACGGGGGCGGCUGAGCCCAGGUUGGGGUGGUGGUGAGACAGGGAGACUGGGGAGCUGGGCACCCUGAUGGGGGUUCUGGGCCUGCCACUCAUCAGCCUGGAGGUCCGGGGCUUUUCCCCAACCCCCUGUGCACGGAAAGGUUUAGGGGCCAUGCCCCAGGUGGCCACAGCGACGGGAAGCUCCCUGGCUGCCUCAAAGGGCUGUUCUGUGGGGGGACCUGGUCCAGGAUGAUGGAGGGGAGGCAGCAACUGGACUUUUCCCCUUGCAGCUGUAAGGAUAGCUUGAUUUUUCUAAGGACAACAACCCUGUGUCUCCCCACUGAGUUACAAGCCCGCAGGUGGCUUGAUGAACAUGUGGUUUCUGGAUGUGACAUGAAAGUUAGCAUUUGCGCGCUCUUUGGUUUCCCUGGGUUUGUUUUUCUUGCUCUUACAGUCCUGAACUAUUCCCAAUCGUGUUUAUGUUGAGGCAGAAGACAUGGCUGUGGAGUGUCGGUGCACCAGGGUCUGCCGGGUCCCCGCCUCCCCAUCCUUCCAAGAGGCACCAGCUGCAAGGCACGUGCAUGUGCCCUCCUGACCCCCCGGUCCCCAAAGAGCCUGCUCCCGUCACUCCAGGCAGGCACUGUUGCUGGGAUUUCAAGGCAGCUGAGUGCAGAGCCCACUGCAGAGGCAUCAGCCCCUCCCAGGCCUCUAGGAAACCUGCUCCUCCCCUCCCUCCACAGGCAUCUGCUUACAGCGCCAGCGGUGCCUCGUGCUCCACCUGGAGCACCACUGUCUGUCAGGGACACGGGCUCCCAGAGGGCUGCACGUGAAUGAUUUCCGACCCUCACAACAGCCAGGAAGUAGGGACUGGGAUUGUUCCCAUUCUGUAGAUGAGAAGACUGAGGCUUGGGAUAACGUGCUUGCCCAAGUUGGCAUGGGCAGUACAAGACAAAGCUGGGGUUGCAAAUGAUCACGCUUCCUAUUCUGAAUAUUUCUUUUUCUGCCACCUUCUCCUCUGAGUGCUGGCUUUCCCUACUUACCAAGCCCCCAGCUGCUCACUGCGGUGCCAGAGCACCCAAGAGCCUCCUCUGGCAGUGCCAUGGCCCACAGCACACUCCCCUUGGCUCUAUCAGGCCUCCCUUUUGGCUUGAGUGCCACCCACUCACUCCUCUCCUGCUUUCUGGCAUCGUUAUUUAAUUGUCCAACCCUGGUCUGCUCAGUUAGACCGUAAACUCUGAGAGGACGAGGAGUCUUCGCCGGCUGCCCCCCGGGCCUGGCCUGGGGCUGCCACGUAGCUGAAUCUCAGCCACACUUGCUGUAGAAUGAUUUGUUAUUAUUCUCUGAGGCUGGGUUUCCACGUGGCUGGGCACAGGAGGACAGAGUCCCCCUCCCCGUCCAGGUCCUUGGCUGGCCAGCAUUUCAAAUGAUAUUGUUUCAUAUUAAAUUAUUUUAAAUUCCAUGGACCCUGGUUUCACAAUCAAAUAAUUCGAUCUUGUUUACAAAUGGAAUUUUUAGUUUUUGACGGUUUCUUGCUUUGCUGGGCUGGACGGUCAGUGAAUGCGUGUCCUCCCGUGCCCUCCAGUCCAUCUCUGUUGCCUUCCCCGGGAUGCCGUGGAGGCCGGGAACCGUCCCCAGGAGUGGGGACGUGGUCAGGAGGGUGGGGUCAGGCAGCCCUGUGCAGGCAGACAGCUCACAGUGCUCGGGGCCUGGAGGCGGGGGCGUUCUCUGCUUGCCCUCUUCCAGCUCUAGACAUGAGAAAACCCACAAAGAACAGAAUUGGAAGGGAUCUUUGACACACGUGAUUCCAACAUCCCCUUUUACAGUUAGGAAACUGAGGCACAAGAUCCUGGUUCUUGGGGUUGGGCCUUGGACCCAGCACUGGGUCUUUGCACAGCCUCCUCAGGACUGAUCCACACUUUGUUCUCUUCCCCACCAACCCCAUCACUUCCCGUUAGGUGCCACUUACUGCUUUCACCUACCGAGACAGAGAGAGGGAAAAGUGUGACCUCUGACCUCUAGGAGCUAGGAACCCAGUGUUGGGAGGGGAGCUGCGGAGGAGGAGACAAAGGAGGCACAAUGAGGUGGACCCUACGGGGUUGGGAGGAGCUUGGAAGGCAGUUCAGAAAGGACACGUAGGAGAAGGCAGGGUGGGACUGUGGGACAGCAGGCCGGGCGCAUCCAGCGGCGUUUGCAAAGCCGGAGAAGUGGCCAAGCUCAGUGGCUGUGGCCAGAUGCCAUUUGUGGCAGUUGAUGAGAAUCUUGUGACUAUUUUAACCGAUGUGUUAAACUUCACUCUCCCCCUGUCAGUCUCCUUGUCACCUUGGAGAAUGUUAUUAGUCAAGGUUCUCCAGAGAAACAGAACCAACAGAAUGUACACACAUGCACACACAUACACAUGCACACACACACACAUACACACGCACACACACACACACACAAACAGGGAUUUAUUGUAAAGAACUGGCUCCUGGAAUAACUGAAUUGAUAAGUCCCAAGAUUUUCAGUCAGCAAGCUGGAGACCCAGAAGAGGCUACUAGGGACUAGACAUGUCCCCCCAAAAUUCAUAUGGUGGACCCCAACCUCCAAUGUGAUGGUCUUAGGAGGUGGGGUGUUUUGAAGGUGAUUAGGUCAGGAGGGUGGAGCGCUAAUGAACGAAAUUAGUGCCCUUAUAAGAAGAGACAGGGCAGCUCUCUCUCUCUGAUCUCUGUCACAUUAGGACGUAGAGAGAGGAAGGCCAGCAGUAAGUGGGCCCUCACCAAAAUCAAAUUGGCAGCACCGUGGUGCUGGACUUCCAGCCUCCUGAAUGGUGGGAAAUGAAUAUUUGAUGCUUAAGCCACACAGUCUACAGCAGCCCGAGCUUAGACAGAGCGGACGUUUCAGUUCAAGUCCAAAGGCAGGAAAAAGCUAGACAUUCAGCUCAAAGGCUGGCAGGCAAGAGGAAUUCUAUCUUACUCAGGGGACGGGACCCCCUUUGUCCUAUUCAGGCUGUCAACUGAUUGGAUGAGGCCCACCCAUAUUAGGGAGGGGAAACUGCUUUACCUGGCCCACUGAUUCCAAUGUGAGUCUCAUCCCCAAGCCCCUCACAGAAACACCCAGAGUGAUGUCUGGUCAAAUAUCUGGGCGCUGUGGCCCCGCCAAGUUGACACUGAAAUUAACCCUCGCAGAGGCCGCCUCUUUAUCACGGGACACAUGCUUGGAGCCCCUCUUCUGGAACUUUCUCUAAGCGAGUGACAGUAUGGGGCAGAUGGGUGUCAUUGCUCUGUGGUCACUUGAUGGGUGACCUGGGUUGGCCCUGUGUACCUACCCACUGGGCUUGGCUCAGAAUGGCAUCCUGCUGUUUCCACAAGUCAGCUGGCUCUCCAGGGUCAGGAUGGAACCUGCUGAGGAGAUCACAGAUGGCCCUGACUCCACACGCUGCCCCAGAGGGCCCCAAGGCAGGCAUCUGAGCCAGCCCCGGCUGCAGAGGUUGACUCAGGAAAGCACCAGGGAAAGUUGGUUGUUAAUAUCCCAGUCCAAUUUUUUUUGACUGGGCCUAAAGGCAGGGACUUCCUUCUAUAAAAUCUGGGAGCUGAGUGCAGGGCAGGCCUGACAAGGCGUGAGGAGCUGCCUGUGGACUUCGGCUCUCCCAGUGAGUCCAGGAGCUGCCCUGGGCCCUGGCGGCCCCUCCUCAUCCCCACCUCUCUGCUGCACCACUAUGGCCUCAAGGUCCCUGCACUGCCUCAUAAAGCUGUCCCCAAGUCAGGCUCCUGUGAGCGCGCCGGGCAUCAGAACUCUGGCUGGUGGACCCACAGAGGCCCGGGGUAAUAGCCAUGAGAAGAACAGGCCACCACGCUCAGACUGGGAAGCACCCAGCCUGCGGGAUGGCCAGAGACACUCAUCCAGGGCCAUGAGAGUGUGAAUCAGUCGAGUACAAUAUGCAUAACCAGUGUGGCCAGAACCGGUGCUUUGAGGUGUCUAACUCCUGGUGUCCUACCAUCCCAACACUGUUGAUUAAUGGCGAAAGAUGGGGCAUUGGGGAGGUCUGUGUCUAUGCUUGGUGGCACCUAAGAAAGAGCAAGGCAUUUAUCUGCAUGGAUUGAGAUAGACAGGUCUCUAAAAUAAACAAGGCAAAGAACGCAAGAGGCUGAACCAAAGUAUGAUCCAUUUGGGGCUUAACAAAUAGAUAGUAUAGGCAGCGCGGUGGCUCACGCCUGUAAUCCCAGCACCUUGGGAGGCUGAGGUGGGCAGAUCACCUGAGGUUGGGAGUUCCAGACCAGCCUGAGCAAUAUGGUGAAACCCUGUCUUUACUAAAAAUACAAAAAUUAGCUGGGCAUGGUGGUGCACGCCUGUAAUCCCAGCUACUCAGGAGGCUGAGGCGGGAGAAUCGCUUGAACCCGGGAGGUGGAGGUUGCAGUGAGCUGAGAUCAUGCCACUGCACUCCAGCCUGGGUGACAGAGGGAGACCCUGUCUCAAAAAAAAAAAAAAAAAAUAGAUGGGGUAGAUGCUUUUGGAAGAAUAUGCAGUCACUGCUCACACCAGCAUGGAACAAGUGGACUGGGGUUACUGCCUGGCGAGUCUCUUUCAGGUCCCUGAAUGCAGUUAACUCAGCGAGUCCUGAGUUCCCCAGGAGGUGGGCAUUCCCAUCUUACCCACGUUGCAGAUGAAGACACUGAGGUAUUGGGAGAACCUGCCCAGGUGAUACAGGUAGUAUGUGGCGGUUGGGGGAUGUGAACUUGAGCUCCUGACCAACUCUGCUGCAUGGGCUGACAACUCCGGCUUCUCCGGGAGAGGGGCAGGGGCUGAGGUGGGGCUUUUUUGUUUUUGUUUUUGGCCUUUCUGAGUCCUCUGUGCUUUCUUCCCAGGUGCAUAGAUGACUUACUUUCAGAAAAUGUCAACAGGGUGCUCUGCAGAGGGGCAUGGGCUUUUAUGCCUUUAUUAUGCUUUUCUGUAUUAAAAGAAAAAUACAGUCAUGUGAUUUUAGAAACUCAACCCAUGGAAGAGAGAAUACUGGGUCUGUAGGAAAUCUGCAAAGUGGGAAAGAUACUUCUGGGCUUGGUGGUGGCACCUUGGAGCCUGCUUACGGAAAUCACCUCUCGUUCCCGUGAUGCUGAAAGCAGAAUGCUGGACAUGGAAGAACCGCGGUACUCGAGCUUCGUCUGCUGCCCCACACCCCACUGGCUGUUGCAAGAGUGACGUUGCCAUUGGUGACUGCAGGUCUCCCAGCAGCCUGGUGCAGAGAGGCCACUUCAGGCUCGAACAGAGGCCCGGGUUUCCACGGGAGACAGCAGAGCCACGGUGUAGCAGGCAUCCAGCUCUCCCCCGAUCAGUUCCGUGACUUGUCGGAAGGCCCUCCCUCCCGGUCAGACGAAGAAAGGACUGGUGGCCUCUGGGGAUCCUGAGCCUGUCUCCAUGGGAACCAGCUCACCCACCCCCUCUCUGGCACCAGAACAUUCUUCCAGAGCUUCACUGGAGCCUUCCUCUUCAGCAUGACCGUCCCUGGCCACCUGAUCCAGAGCUGGCGGCUCCCAGGCAUAGCCCAUCCCUGCUGCGGCUCUGCACUGCCCCAGUCCUCACCUGCAUGCAGGGGACUAUUCACAUGCUGACCGUCUGUCCAUCUCCCGUAAGAACGUCGGCUCCUUCCACGUCUGCUGGGCGUGGAGGAUCCCUCACAGCCUCCCCGACCUCAGAGCCAUGAGAGACUUGCAAAGCUUGAAACAAACUCUGAAAGGACUCUUCACAGAUAAAUUCCUCCAGGUGCAUGUUUCAAACAAUUUUAUUAUCUAACCCAAGAGUAAGUUAGCAAUCGAUUUCCUAAUCUUUAUUGAUUGGCAGUGGGCAGGCUAGUGUGAUUAAAGAUGUGAGAGAGACUUGCCAAAUAAAAUGCAUGAGCAGCCUUCAUGAGCUUAGCUCCAAUGUGCAGAGUGAUAGGGUCAGGGAAGUGUGUGUAUGUGUGCAUGAUUGUGUGAGAUCAGGGUAGUGUGUGUGUGUGUGUGUGUGUGUGACAUCAGGGCAGUGGGUGUGUGAGAGAGAUCAGGGCAGUGUGUAUGUGUAUGUGUGAGAUCAGGGCAGUGUGCGUGUGUGUGUGUGUGUGACAUCAGGGCAGUGUGUCUGUGUGCAUGAGUGUGUGAGAUCAGGGCAGUGUGUGUGCAUGAGUGUGAUAUCAGGGCAGUAUGUGUGUGUCUGUGUGUGUGUGUAUGAUAUCAGGGCAGUGUGUGUGUGUCUGUGUGUGAGGUUAGGGCAGUGUGUGUUUGUGUGCAUGAGUGUGUGAGAUCAGGACAGUAUGUGAGAGAGAGAGAUCAGGGCAAAGGGCAGUGUUUGUGUGAGAUUAGGGCAGAGUGUGUGUGUGUGUGUAUGAGAUCAGGGCAGUGUGUGUGUGUGUGCAUGAGUGUGUGAGAUCAGGGUAGUGUGUGUGUGUGACAUCAGGGCAGUGUUUGUGUGUUUGUGUGAGAUCAGGGCAGUGUGUGUGUGUGCACGAGUGUGUGAGAUCACGGAAGUGUGUGUGUCAGGUCACCACAGUGUAUGUGCGGGUAUGCGUGUGUGUGUGCACAGGGAACACACGGACAGCCAUUCCAAGUACACACUCUCCUUGGGUAAAUCUGUGAGUAAUCAUUGCUCCAGCAGUGAGAGCCCGUGAGGGUGGUGCAGGAAGACUGUGGCCUGCCUCCUGAGGGAAGCAUUAAAAAAACAGUCAAAGGAAAACGAACUCAGCUCUCCCAGGGUGGAGGACGUGGAGGUGGGCAGCCAGGGAACAAAUCUGGUUGCUGCGAGCCUGUCAGAAAGGGCCCUAGUGCCCUGCCAGGAGGAAGGACUCUGGGCCAUGAGCAUGAUGGUCUUUGAAGGCCAGGAGAGCUAGCCUACCCCAGCUCUGCCACUAACUGUGCGACUCACGGUCACAUGAUGAUACCUCCUGGGCCCCAUAUACUUUAUCUGCAAAUGGGAAGAAGCACAGCCUCUGUGUCCACAGUGCUGUUGAGGUUGGAUCGGGGCUAACUGGCAAUCAGACAUGUGUCUAUAAAUGCCGGCGAGCCAGGCAGAGCCCAGGCCUGAGAGUCCACCAGGGUGGCAGGCCUUAAUCCGCGCUGCACAGAUCUGU
rnacentral:lncRNA from 10 species